GCAACACACACACACACACACACACACACACAAAUUUAUGGCAAGCACUUGAUAUCUAUUUUAUGUGUUACAUACACAAUCAUAUGAGGUAUGCAAUAUAAUUCCUGUUUUACAGUUGAGGAAACUGAGGGACAGAUGUUAAGUAUGCUAAUGGCACUACAUGGGGGGUUAGAGGGUGGUCUAGUCACUCAGCUCUCCAGGCCAGUCACUGUUUUCCUUUAUAAAUGAAGAUAUUAACUUCUGGAACAAUCUCUAAGCUGAUUUUUAAUAUCUAUGAUUUCUCAACAACCUGGAAACAUUGCUAAUGGUUUAAUGGAUACACAGAAGGUCAUUAUCAUCUAAUAUUCAUUACCCAAGCCCCCAAAUUUACAAGGAUUUUUAGGGCAUCAGAACUUAAAAAUAUUCACUGAUAAAUGGUUGUGUAUAAAAUUAGUCCACCCUCUUUGCUGAAUGCUAGUUUCUAUCUCUGCCCAUCACACUAAGAGUUCUGUUACUGGUGAGCUGUGACAAGGCAAACACAAAGUGAAAAUGCAAAGUAAACUGACUUCAUUAAAAUGGCAUUGCAAAACUUGUAGAUGCAGGGUUUCACAUGGUGCGUGCUGUGAUUUGAAUGUGUCCCCCAAUGUUCAUGUGUUGGAAACUUAAUCCCCAUUGCAGCAGUGUUAAGAGGUGGGAACUUUAAGAAGCAAUUUGGUCUUGAGGGCUCUGCCUCACGCGUGGAUUAAUGCUAUUAUUGUGGGAGUGGGUUAGUUAUUGGAAGAAUGGGUUCCUGAUAAAAGGAUGAUUUUGCCCCUGUCUCCCUCUCUCUUGCUCUUCUGCCUUCUGCCAUGGGAUGAUGCAGCAAGAUGGCCCUUACCAGAUGAUGGCAACUUAAUGUUUGACUUCCCAGCCUCCAGAACUGCCCUGGAAUUUGAACCACCAUCUUCUGGACUGACUCAAAUGCAGAGGAAGCCAGGCCUGCCACUAACAUUUGUAAGAGCAGCAAGAGUAUAAAUGGAGAUCCACAUAUGUAUAAAUAAUUAGAGUGUGAAUCAAGCUAACAAACUGUUUAAUAAAAUACGAUCUACUCUCUAGCUUGACAAAUCAACUUUUCAAACACCUGGAAGAACAAGUUUGCACUCAGGAUUCUCAGACUCCUCCAAGUUCUGCACUGGGAUGUGGAAGAGCUGUGCAAGCCAGCCCUUGGGUCCCUGAUCCCCGCCUCCUGGCCUGUGCCUGUCUAUUCUCAGCCUGGCUCCAGCUCCCAUUGAGAGGAAGUUCUUGUACACACAUGAUACUAUAGGCCUCUGUCUAAUAUUUAUCUAUACCUUCUGCUAACAGCCACUGUGUGACCACCCUUGGGCUUAGGGGUCCGCAACCGACAACAGAGAAUGGGAACCAAGGCAGAGGCUCACAGACUCUAGAAAUGGGCAUAGGUCCAUGUGGGCAGAGACCUGUGGAAUCCUGGGUAAGCAAGGUGUCUUAGUUUGCUUGUGCUGCUUAAACAAAACACUAUAGACUAGGUAAUUUAUAAAUAUUAGAAAUAUAUUUCUCAGAAUUCUGAAGGUUGGGAAGUCCAAGGUCAAGGUAUUGGCAAGUUUGGUGGGAGCUGCUUUCUCUGCUUCCAAGAUGGUACUUUUUUGCUGUGUCCUCUUGAGGGGAAGAAAGCAGAAGGGCAAAGGGGCCAAUUAUCUCUCUGAGGCCUCUUUUGUAAAGCUGUUAAUCCAUUCCUGAGGGCUCUGCCCUCAUGACUUAAUCACUUUCCCAAAGUCACAUCUCUUAAUACUACCACAAUGAGGAUGAAGUUUCAACAUGAAUUUUCAAGGGGUCACAUUCAAGCCAUGGCGCAGGGCAUGGCCUAGUAGAGGAAAUGCAAGCUCUGGGUAUGCAAGUCCCCUUUGCCCCAUAAACUUCUUGCUUCAUGGGAAGGGAUGUGGCUGGAGGGUACCCCUCUACAGCACAGGUCCCAGAGCACCCUUCUUGCCUUGAGUUUAGGGAUAGUAUAGGUGGUGGUAGUGAGGCUACUUUUGCUCAUUAAGAAAAGCCUCUAUGAUGGGGUGGGGCUGAGAAUGACAUUUGAAUGGAAACUUGAAUGAUAAAGAUGAGUUAUCCAUGCCAAGACCUGGGAGAAGGGCAUUCCUAACUGAGAGAAGAGGAAAUGCCCAGAUCUCAUAAGCUCUGUAGAGAAGAAACACCAACAGGAGUGGGUGGAGCCUAAUUAAGAGAAGAAUGGUAAGAGAUGAGGUGAAAUGGUCAGGCAGGAGCAGGGACCCUGAAGGUCAGGUAAGGGGGUUUUGACUUUACCAUGUGUGCAAUGGGAAGCUUCUGAAGAAUUGAUAUGAGUUCUGUUACAGCACAAUCACUCUGGGUGCUGUGUGAAAUGGAUGAAUAGCAAGGAGCUGCUGGCAAGGGCAAAUCAACAGAAGCACCACUCAAAAUGCCUCAGUACCCACUACAUAAGGAUUCUUGUGAUUAAUUCUUCCCCAAAUUUUAGAGCCAAGGAAAAUCCAGCUCUCCUACUAAGAGUUGUAGAUUAGAGCUUCUGUUUCUAAUCCAUAAACAAAUUCUAAACAGGUCUUUUCAUGACAAUUCCAACUUUGUCAUAAAGUCAUCUACUGAGAAACCAGUAGGCAGGUUUCUCCUCUUGUCUAGACCACCUGAAAGCACAUAGCUGAGUUUGCACUUCUUUGCAGAGGAAACUGCUCAUUUAUCAAUCUGGCCUCCAAUCACAACUUUAUAGCUAACUACCUGUAUGUUUUCAUAAACUUCUCUCACACAGUAUAAAUUUUAAAUAAAUCACAAUAGCUAUUACACAUAUAAGUAGUAAUAACUCAAGAGACUGGUAUCUGACUAGCGGUUAUUUCACCAGUGUAUACACUGGAAGUUUUGUUUUUUGAUGUAUGUACAUUAUAACUGCAGGGCAGGUCGUAAGAAGAUUUUAAAUUCACAUUAGCUUUGCUACCACUAAACUAUGGGGACUGAGUGUUUCUAAUUUACAAACAAAGAUAUGCAAUGUCUUUUUAUGAUCAUCCUGACUUUAUAAUAGGAUUGCUAUAAAAUAUUUUAAGACAUACGAAAAGGCAUAAAGUAUAAUACAAUGAGUACCCAUAUAUCUAACUCCCAGUUUAAGAAAUAAAACAUUAGCAAAUACAGCUGAAGUUCCAUGAAUUCCCCUCCCAAAUCAUAAUCCCUUCCCACCUGCAGAGGGAACCUCUAUUCUAAGCCUGGUGUUUAUCACCACCAAGAAUUUAAAAAAUACUUUUACUAUACAUACACAAGUAUGUAUCCCUUAGAAAUGAGCAGUAGUACUGUUUUGUAGUAUAAGUAGUAGUACUUAUACCAUUUACACUUUAAGUAAAUGGUGUAAGUUUUUUCUUGGUUUUGCGAAAAAUUGUUGAUGUUUAUGUCCUUUGAUUCUAUAGCUGAUUGACUUUCACUGUGAGUCAUUCCAUCAUUAUUUCUGUAUUCAUUCUCCUGCUGAAGUAUAUUUCAGGUUGUUUCUAUUCCUCUCCUGAUCCCCCUCUCCCAACACACAUGCUUUUAUUAAUAAAUCUGCUGGAACUUUGUUGCAUACAUCUCCUUGGAUGUGUUAUAUCAUAAAAUAUACAGAGAGAAAAUUGAGCUUUUUCAGACACAGGUUCUACAUUAAAUCAUUUUCAGAUUGACUUACCAUUGCUCAUAUUCAAUCCUUUAGAAUGGGUUCAAGAUGGAUAUUUUAUAGUAAUGAAGCAUAAUCCAGAGAGGGACAGAGUGAUUUUUAAGAUCAGAACUAUAAAAUU